AUUGAACGCUGGAGGUAUGCUUAACACAUGCAAGUCGAACGCGAACGCACCUUCGGGUGCAAGUAGAGUGGCGGACGGGUGAGUAACGCGUAGGAAUAUACCUAGUAGUGGGGGAUAGCCCGGGGAAACUCGGAUUAAUACCGCAUACGUCUUACGAGACAAAGAGGGCCUCUUCUUGAAAGCUCUUGCUACUAGAUUAGCCUGCGUCGGAUUAGCUUGUUGGUAGGGUAAUGGCCUACCAAGGCGACGAUCCGUAGCUGGUCUGAGAGGAUGAUCAGCCACACUGGGACUGAGACACGGCCCAGACUCCUACGGGAGGCAGCAGUGGGGAAUAUUGGACAAUGGGCGCAAGCCUGAUCCAGCAAUACCUCGUGUGUGAAGAAGGCCUUAGGGUUGUAAAGCACUUUCAAUUGGGACGAAAAGUUUAAGAUUAAUACUCUUAGACCUUGACGGUACCUUUAGAAGAAGCACCGGCUAACUCCG
rnacentral:rRNA from 1 species